UUACAUAACAACAUUGAGUACGUGUAGCCUAUUAUUGCAAAUACCUACGUAUAAACAAAUGGCAAAAUCCUACACCAUAUUUGUUGCUUUUCUUUUCGGCUUCCUCAUAGCGACACCUACUGAGAGUAGAGUGGGUGAAGAAAAUUUGUGCGGAAAGCUAAGCAAAACGUACUCCGGUUGGUGCGAUGGCGGCGACUGUGAUCUCCGUUGCCGGAGUGUUGAAGGCGCGGUUGAGGGCUCAUGUCACUGGCACGACAUUGGAUGGGCUUGCUUCUGCUAUUUCAAUUGCUGAAGAUUAAAUGUCAUGGUGAUCUGCAAUAAUAACAAUAAUAAAUCCCUCAAACUAUGAAUAAUAAUACUGCAUGCUGCCUAGCUAAUUGUAUUACAAUGAAUUGUCUGCUGCCUAAUUGUAUUACAAUGAAUUGUACUUGGCUGAAAAUAAAACAAUUAAUAAGAAGUGUGUCCAUCUUUUUUUCAA